GAUGAACGCUGGCGGCGUGCCUAAUACAUGCAAGUCGAGCGAACGGACGAGAAGCUUGCUUCUCUGAUGUUAGCGGCGGACGGGUGAGUAACACGUGGAUAACCUACCUAUAAGACUGGGAUAACUUCGGGAAACCGUAGCUAAUACCGGAUAAUAUUUUGAACCGCAUGGUUCAAAAGUGAAAGACGGUCUUGCUGUCACUUAUAGAUGGAUCCGCGCUGCAUUAGCUAGUUGGUAAGGUAACGGCUUACCAAGGCAACGAUGCAUAGCCGACCUGAGAGGGUGAUCGGCCACACGGGAACUGAGCCACGGUCCAGACUCCUACAGGAGGCAGCAGUAGGGAAUCUUCCGCAAUGGGCGAAAGCCUGACGGAGCAACGCCGCGUGAGUGAUGAAGGUCUUCGGAUCGUAAAACUCUGUUAUUAGGGAAGAACACAUGUGUAAGUAACUGUGCACAUCUUGACGGUACCUAAUCAGAAAGCCACGGCUAACUACGUG
rnacentral:rRNA from 1 species